rnacentral:tRNA from 1 species
GAGGGUAUAGCUCAGUGGUAGAGCACGUGCUUAACAUGCAUGAGGUCCUGGUUUCAAUCCAGUACCUCUG